rnacentral:rRNA from 1 species
AGUGAACGCUGGCGGCGUGCUUAACACAUGCAAGUCGAACGAGAACGGAUUAUAGCUUGCUAUAAUUGUCAGCUAAGUGGCGCACGGGUGAGUAAUGUAUAGGUAAUAUGCCUCUUACUAAGGGAUAACAAAUGGAAACGUUUGCUAAUACCUUAUACUCCUUAUUAACAGAAGUUAAUAAGGGAAAGAUUUAUUGGUAAGAGAUUAGCCUGUAUUGUAUCAGUUAGUUGGUGGGGUAGUGGCGUACCCAGACGAUGACGCAUAACUGGUUUGAGAGGAUGAUCAGUCACACUGGAACUGAGACGCGGUCCAAGCUCCUACGGGAGGCAGCAGUGGGGAAUAUUGCACGAUGGACGAAAGUCUGAUGCAGCAACGCCGCGUGGAGGAUGACACAUUUCGGUGCGUAAACGCCUUUUAUAUAAGAAGAUAAUGACGGUAUUAUAUGAAUAAGCACCGGCUAACUCCGUGCCAGCAGCCGCCGCGG